rnacentral:rRNA from 1 species
AUUGAACGCUGGCGGCAUGCUUUACACAUGCAAGUCGAACGGCAGCACGGACUUCGGUCUGGUGGCGAGUGGCGAACGGGUGAGUAAUACAUCGGAACGUGCCCAGUUGUGGGGGAUAACUACUCGAAAGAGUAGCUAAUACCGCAUGAGAACUGAGAUUGAAAGCAGGGGAUCGUAAGACCUUGCGCAACUGGAGCGGCCGAUGGCAGAUUAGGUAGUUGGUGGGAUAAAAGCUUACCAAGCCGACGAUCUGUAGCUGGUCUGAGAGGACGACCAGCCACACUGGGACUGAGACACGGCCCAGACUCCUACGGGAGGCAGCAGUGGGGAAUUUUGGACAAUGGGCGAAAGCCUGAUCCAGCAAUGCCGCGUGCAGGAUGAAGGCCUUCGGGUUGUAAACUGCUUUUGUACGGAACGAAAAGCUUCGGGUUAAUACCCUGGAGUCAUGACGGUACCGUAAGAAUAAGCACCGGCUAACUACGUGCCAGCCGCCGCCGUAAGAC